rnacentral:SRP_RNA from 1 species
GGGAGGUUGGCGCCGGACGAGCCCCUCGCCAACCCGGUCAGGUCCGGAAGGAAGCAGCCGUAACGAGUUCCGGCCCGGGUCGACGUUCAACCUCCCACC